UUACUUUUCUUUUCUUUUUCGAUUUUUCGUUCAAGCAUUCCAUUUGCUUCAAACCACCCUUUCUAUUCUUCUCUAAAACUAUGCUAACCAUUCUUCCUACCUAGAUCGAUCAAAGCUUCAAGAUAAUCCAAAUCCCAGGUUAAAAUGAAGAAUACCCAUUUGUGGUCUGAAGCCCAGGUUGAGAAAUCGACGAUUCAGAUCUAUCUUUGAAGCUGUGAUGUAUUAUUGUAAUCGACCUCUGUUGGAGGUGGGUUUUGGAAGAGGACAGGGAGUAAGAGUGGAAAAUGGUGGCCAUCUGUUGAAGUUCCUUCAAGAUCGGCAGAAUAAUCAUGAAGAACAAUUAUGACUAUAAUUUAAAUUAAAAGGAGGAAUUUAAAAACAAAAAAUCUAAUUUGAAUAAUCUUAAUCCAUUUAUUUUGAUAUAUACAAAAUAAUAAUUAGUGAAUGGGAGAGGAGAACAGCAGCUCCACUACUGGUGGAACCCACCAAAUGCAUUCACACGGAUUUGUCAAUCUGUAUGAAAGUAGUAUUAGCAACGUCAGUAAUACGUACGGAUUAUUAAUUCGUCGUUGUACCGUGUGUAUUGACGUUUUCACACGGAUUUCCGUGUGGA